rnacentral:rRNA from 1 species
UUAAUUGAAGAGUUUGAUCAUGGCUCAGAUUGAACGCUGGCGGCAGGCCUAACACAUGCAAGUCGAGCGGCAGCACAGAGGAACUUGUUCCUUGGGUGGCGAGCGGCGGACGGGUGAGUAAUGCCUGGGAAAUUGCCCGGUAGAGGGGGGAUAACCAUUGGAAACGAUGGCUAAUACCGCAUAACCUCGCAAGAGCAAAGCAGGGGACCUUCGGGCCUUGCGCUACCGGAUAU